rnacentral:rRNA from 1 species
UUGGAGGGCAAGUCUGGUGCCAGCAGCCGCGGUAAUUCCAGCUCCAAUAGCGUAUAUUAAAGUUGUUGCAGUUAAAAAGCUCGUAGUUGAAUUUCGGGAUUAGUACGCUGGUCGUGCCUUCGGUACGUACUGGUGUUACUGAUUUCUACCUUCUGACGAACCAUCAUGUCAUUAAUUUGGUGUGGUGGGGAAUCAGGACUGUUACUUUGAAAAAAUUAGAGUGUUUAAAGCAGGCUCGCGCUUGAAUACAUUAGCAUGGAAUAAUGAAAUAGGACGUUGAUCCUAUUUUGUUGGUUUCUAGGAUUGACGUAAUGAUUAAUAGGGAUAGUUGGGGGCAUUAGUAUUCAAUUGUCAGAGGUGAAAUUUUUGGAUUUAUUGAAGACUAACUACUGCGAAAGCAUUUGCCAAGGACGUUUUCAUUAAUCAAGAACGAAAGUUAGGGGAUCGAAGACGAUCAGAUACCGUCGUAGUCUUAACCAUAAACUAUGCCGACUAGGGAUCGGAUGAUGUUAUUUUUAAUGACUCAUUCGGCGCCUUACGGGAAAC